rnacentral:rRNA from 1 species
ACGGGUGAGUAACGCGUGGGAAUCUACCGUACCCUACGGAAUAGCUCUGGGAAACUGGAAGUAAUACCGUAUACGCCCUAACGGGGAAAGAUUUAUCGGGGUAUGAUGAGCCCGCGUUGGAUUAGCUAGUUGGUGGGGUAAAGGCCUACCAAGGCGACGAUCCAUAGCUGGUCUGAGAGGAUGAUCAGCCACAUUGGGACUGAGACACGGCCCAAACUCCUACGGGAGGCAGCAGUGGGGAAUAUUGGACAAUGGGGGCAACCCUGAUCCAGCCAUGCCGCGUGAGUGAUGAAGGUCUUAGGAUUGUAAAGCUCUUUCAACGGUGAAGAUAAUGACGGUAACCGUAGAAGAAGCCCCGGCUAACUUCGUGCCAGCAGCCGCGGUAAUACGAAGGGGGCUAGCGUUGUUCGGAAUUACUGGGCGUAAAGCGCACGUAGGCGGGUAUUUAAGUCAGGGGUGAAAUCCCGCAGCUCAACUGCGGAACUGCCUUUGAUACUGGGUAUCUUGAGUAUGGAAGAGGUAAGUGGAAUUGCGGGUGUAGAGGUGAAAUUCGUAGA